AUUGAACGCUGGCGGCAGGCCUAACACAUGCAAGUCGAGCGGCAGCGGGAAAGUAGCUUGCUACUUUUGCCGGCGAGCGGCGGACGGGUGAGUAAUGCCUGGGAAAUUGCCCAGUCGAGGGGGAUAACAGUUGGAAACGACUGCUAAUACCGCAUACGCCCUACGGGGGAAAGCAGGGGACCUUCGGGCCUUGCGCGAUUGGAUAUGCCCAGGUGGGAUUAGCUAGUUGGUGAGGUAAUGGCUCACCAAGGUGACGAUCCCUAGCUGGUCUGAGAGGAUGAUCAGCCACACUGGAACUGAGACACGGUCCAGACUCCUACGGGAGGCAGCAGUGGGGAAUAUUGCACAAUGGGGGAAACCCUGAUGCAGCCAUGCCGCGUGUGUGAAGAAGGCCUUCGGGUUGUAAAGCACUUUCAGCGAGGAGGAAAGGUUGAUGCCUAAUAUGUAUCAACUGUGACGUUACUCGCAGAAGAAGCACCGGCUAACUCCGUGCCAGCAGCCGCGGUAUACGGAGGGUGCAAGCGUUAAUCGGAAUUACUGGGCG
rnacentral:rRNA from 1 species